UCGCGUCUCUCAGCCCGCGGGAUUUCGAGCCUUUCUCUCGCGAGGUUUUUGCAGUACCGGAGUCAGCUGUGGGGGCUGCUUGCGGGGUGAGAAGAGGUGGUUCUGUCGCGGUUUUCCAGAAAGCCUGCGCCAAGCUCAGAGGCGUUAAGUAUACAGAAAAAUGGAGUAUAUGACAGAAUCUGUCACCUGCACACCUGGACACAUCUUGUGCUGCGAUUGUGGUGUCCCAAUUAGUCCAAAUCCUGCCAAUAUUUGUGUGGCCUGUCUGCGAAGUAAAGUAGAUAUCAGCCAAGGCAUUCCAAAACAAGUGUCUAUAUCUUUCUGCAAACAAUGCCAAAGAUAUUUCCAGCCACCAGGAACUUGGAUACAGUGUGCGUUAGAAUCCAGGGAACUUCUUGCUUUGUGUUUGAAAAAAAUCAAAGCCCCUCUGAGUAAGGUGCGGCUUGUAGAUGCAAGUUUUGUUUGGACUGAACCCCAUUCCAAGAGACUUAAAGUUAAACUAACUAUUCAGAAAGAGGUAAUGAAUGGUGCUAUCCUUCAGCAAGUGUUUGUGGUGGAUUAUGUUGUUCAGCCCCAAAUGUGUGGAGACUGCCAUAGAGUAGAAGCUAAGGAUUUCUGGAAGGCUGUGGUUCAAGUGAGGCAAAAGACUUUGCACAAAAAAACUUUCUACUACCUGGAACAGUUGAUUUUGAAAUAUGGGAUGCACCAGAAUACACUUCGUAUCAAAGAGAUUCAUGAUGGUCUGGAUUUCUAUUAUUCCUCAAAACAACAUGCUCAGAAGAUGGUAGAAUUUCUCCAGUGUACGGUUCCCACUAGAUACAAAGCUUCACAGAGACUCAUCUCUCAGGAUAUCCACAGUAACACAUACAAUUACAAAAGCACUUUUUCUGUGGAAAUUGUUCCAAUAUGCAAGGAUAAUGUUGUUUGUCUGUCUUCGAAACUGGCACAAAGCCUGGGAAACAUGAACCAGAUUUGUGUGUGUAUUCGAGUAACCAGCGUUAUCCACCUCAUAGAUCCAAAUACCCUGCAAGUUGCAGAUAUUGAUGGGAACACUUUUUGGAGUCAUCCUUUUAAUAGUUUAUGCCAUCCCAAACAGCUAGAGGAGUUUAUUGUUAUGGAUUGCAGCAUAGUACGAGAUCUGAAACGCAGUGCAGGUGCUGGAAUGAUAUCCAAAAAGCAUACCCUCGGAGAAGUCUGGGUACAGAAAACAUCUGAAAUGAAUACAGAUAAACAGUAUUUUUGUCGCACUCAUUUGGGACAUCUGCUAAAUCCUGGAGACCUGGUGUUGGGGUUUGAUUUGGCCAACUGUAACUUAAAUGAUGAGCAUGUCAAUAAAAUGAAAUCAGAUAGAAUCCCAGAUGUGGUACUAAUCAAGAAGAGCUAUGACCGUACCAAACGUCAACGUCGUCGAAACUGGAAACUGAAAGAGCUUGCAAAAGAUAGAGAAAACAUGGAUGCAGAUAAUGAAAGGCAAUACCAAGAUUUCCUUGAAGAUCUUGAAGAAGAUGAGGCAAUUAGAAAAAAUGUAAACAUUUACAGAGAUUCAACCAUUCCUGUGGAAAGUGACACAGAUGAUGAAGGAGCACCUCGUAUUAGUCUGGCGGAGAUGCUUGAAGACCUUCACAUUUCCCAGGAUGCUACUGGUGAAGAAGGAAGAACUUGAAAAAUGAAUCAGAGUUGAAAACCAAGUACUGCUGACAAUAAAGAAGAUUGCCCCAGACUUACCAAAAGGCCUAGGGCCAGAGUGAAAUGGGAAAACAGAAAACAACCGGAGAGAGAAGAAAAAUCAAAAUGCUUGAAGACAAAGUAGAGCUUUACUUAUUUAAAGUUUUACUUUGGAAAACUUGGAAAAUGUGAGAAAGUAAGGAAGUCCAGCAUUUUCUUGAGCUGAAAACAGACCAUUGGUCUUAUUUAUAAAGCAAACAGCACUUUCUAAAUGGAAACAAAUAAAUGAAAGAGUUAGCAAAGAAGCAGUUAUCUCACCAGCAAGUACAAUGUGUUUCAAUGGGUCUGGCUUGCCGUGGGAUGAUGAACUCCCAGAGGAGACAAAGUAACUCACUUAUCCAGGCAUAAAGAAAAAGACACUGAAUUUCAGAUGAUGACUGGACAUCCUAUUUUAGCCACUUCUUUAAAAGAGAAGGAAACCGAGCCUCAGAGGAACAAGUGAUGAUCACAAGGCAGCAGAAGUGGAUGAUGGUGCGGAGUUCUACUUUAGGACAGCUUCAGUGGCAUCUGAUGAUUUUGUAACUGAAAUCAAUUUAUUAUCGAUUGUCCAGACUUCCUGGGUGUGUGGUUUCCGAUUCACUAACACAAGUUCUCUGAUGAGCUGUCUAGGGGCCUAUAACCCUGUUCCCAUCUUUGGCACUGCCCAACAAGUUAUUGGCCUUGCAGUGCCACAGAGCAUUUUAAACAAACCUCCUCUGUUCAUCCAGGCUUGCUUUAAAAGAGCUCUGAAACCGAUCCAAGCACAGAUGGCCGGGUGUCACCAGUGUUCCCAGCCGGCUGUAACUUCCACCACUGCCACCAUUUUCCACAGUGAGAUCGAUGGAGUGGAAAAUAAUAGCAAUCUUCAAGGGGAGGAUUCUUUCCUGCACUCUUGGUCACAGAGAACCAAUCAUUUAAAAACAAUUUACCACCACAGACGGGGCACCAUUUCAGAGAAACAUGAAAUAGAACAGAAGAAAUCUGUUUUCUAAUAAUUCAACUCACUGGUUCCAACAAAGGCAUGGCAUUGGGCUAUCAAGUGGCUUGUGUUUUACAGGCCUUCCCAAACUGUACUGCGUCUGAAAACACGGAGAAGCCAGGAGGAAACCAGUGUCAAGAUCCUUCUCUCUUUAAAUGGUUGUCAUUCAUUGCCUAAAUCCCAAUUUUCUUAACUAAAGCAGAUUGCUAUUACUGAAUUGUGUACUUCAAUAAAAAUAAAAACUGGGGUAAAAAUGAUUAAAUCAACUCUAUGAAAUAUUUCUUAAUUUCUUCUAAAGAUAAAAGCUAUGCCGAGGAGCCUUGAACAUGAACACAGUUUUUUGGUAAACUAACUCAAAGAAUCCUCUGUGCCAAAGAAGGAAGGAGGAGGAAGGGGAAUGGAUGGUGCCCCACAAAGUGCAUGGGGAGGUGGACACAUGUGCUGCUCUAGCCGCUGUGGGGGAAACCUGCUCCAUAACAGAAAAUUUGACUCACUCCGUCAGCCAAGCUGGAGUCAGAAGGAGAGGCCCAUGUUUUGUCACUGAGAUGCUCACAUGUGUAAAAGGAUGAGAUGUAAAUUUCCCUUGCAUUUCCAACACAAAAGCUGGUGUGCGUCUCAGGUGGCUGAAUUCUUGCCAAUGAGAUCCUAAAUGCAGCAAAACCAGGGGCCGCUUCAUGCCUGUCCAUUCUGAAACUCAUUGGAACAUCUCAGGGAAAAGUCCUGAUUUGAAAAAGUUAAGGUUUUAUAUACACUUGGAUUUGACCUCAAACAAGAACCUUGCAUCCUGCUAGAAUGCUGAUUGCACCAGAGAAGGAGAGAAGCUGCAUAUAUCCAGAGACUUGAUGAAAUCAUGUGCCCUGGGAAUGGUUAAAUUGGGAGGAGCUUGGAGCAGGGGAGGAUAAUUGAAGGAGCAUCUGUCCUAAAUUAGGUCUCAAACUGCCAGCCUCUGGACUGUGAACUACACUAUUGGAUCUCCUGGGACUUGCCAGGCUCCAUAAUCACGUAAUGUGGCUGCCUCCUGUAGACUGGGGAGGGUCAGGACAAAGAAUGGUACGGGGACAAUAGGAACAAGAUCAUCACUAGGAAUCCAUCUCAAAGAUGCACUGGCAAAAAAUACAAACAUGUGCACAGAGCUUUUCAUUGCGGCAUUAUUUGUAAUGCUCAAUGUGUGAUAAGGAACUGAAUUCUGCCAACACUAACGGACUUGGAAGAGGACUCUGAGUAGCACAUGAGAUCACAGCCUUGGCCAAAAUUUUGAUUUCAGCCUGGUAGGAUGCUGAAGAGAGGACCCAGACAACCUUGUGCAGAUUCCUGACCCACAGAAACUGUGAGCUGAGAAUUUUUACAGUUCUGAGUUCCAGCCUAAUCAGAUUCUCCCUUCAUCCCUUUGUGAAUGGAGGAGAUUGAAAGCCCCAGGAAAGCUGGCCACGAGCAAAGAGAAGCCAGUUUGUUCUGUACAGAGGAAGCCAGGCCCUGUGGCUUUAGUACUCCGGCUCUUCCCCUAAACCCCAGCUGUGGAAGGAAAAGACCAACGUAGACAUUGCAGGAUAACCAGCAACAACAGUGGACACAACACCGACUAAUGGCAAACACUAAAGAGAUAUAUCAGCUAAGGAGUCAGGGUCAAGUGUACAGACCUAUUACGAGAGGUACACAUCUGAGGAGUAAAGGUCCGUGAGAGGUGCAGUGAGCUAUAGCAGAGAGGCUUUCUGGGCUGAAGCCCAACAAGGCCGAUUUACUUGGAAAGAAAGGAAGCUGACAAGCUCCUUCAUACCUUCUGAUGCUGGGCUUGACCACGUGUCUUGCUUUGGCUGGUGGAAUAUGGGACAAAAUGGUGGUACUGACUCCAGUCUGAAGAGACAUUGUAUAUUCCUCUUAUCCUCUUGGACUCUGCCAUCUGCUAUGAGGGGGAGGUGGAGGAGCAUAAUUCAGCUCAUAGUAACUACAUAAAAGGUGAUAGUAGUGUAGAGAUACAGUG